rnacentral:rRNA from 1 species
CCCAGACUCCUACGGGAGGCAGCAGUGGGGAAUAUUGCACAAUGGGGGAAACCCUGAUGCAGCGACGCCGCGUGAGUGAAGAAGUAUUUCGGUAUGUAAAGCUCUAUCAGCAGGGAAGAAAAUGACGGUACCUGACUAAGAAGCCCCGGCUAACUACGUGCCAGCAGCCGCGGUAAUACGCAGGGGGCAAGCGUUAUCCGGAUUUACUGGGUGUAAAGGGUGCGCAGGUGGCAGGGCAAGUCAGAUGUGAAAGCCCGGGGCUCAACCCCGGUAUUGCAUUUGAAACUGUCCGGCUAGAGUGCAGGAGAGGUAAGCGGAAUUCCUAGUGUAGCGGUGAAAUGCGUAGAUAUUAGGAGGAACACCAGUGGCGAAGGCGGCUUACUGGACUGUAACUGACACUGAGGCACGAAAGCGUGGGGAGCAAACAGGAUUAGAUACCCGUGUA